UUGGAUGCAUUGCAGGGAACACACCCAGAAGAUGACAAACACGCUGAGUCUUGAGGUAUAAAAGAAUGCACUUUCCAGAUGAGAAUUGUUAAAGGAACUAGUAUUUCCUAAGCAGAUACUACAUAUCAGGCCCUAGAUUGAGACUAUAUAUUUAGUUAAAUCCUGACUCCAGAAUCCGAGAAUCAGCGAAUAUAAAGAACUUGUUCACAGUGACAGUGUAAAAAAAAAUCCCUGAGCUGAAUAUCUGAGCCGCAUUUUUGGGAAAGAGCAGCCCCGGCAGAAGGAACAGCACGCACAACGGCAGGACAGCAAGACGGGCCUGGCACAUCGGAGGGACAGGAUGUUCAGUGCACCUCAGCCAUCAGCUGUACGUGGGGACAGGGAUCAAGUGUGAGAUGAGGACAAAGGAGGAAUUGGGAGCAAAAUUCUGGAGGACUUUGCAUAUCUGAUAGGAAGUAGGGAUCGUCUCCUGCAGGCAAAGGAUAGCCAACUAAGAAACAAAAUAAAUCAUCACUACAAGAAUGGGCUGUGGGAAGGGAAGAGAGAGAUAAAAGGGUGGAUGAUGAAGCCACUGCCCAAAGCCAGGAAUAUGGGAUAAGGAGCAGUGGUGAAGAGGGGCUGGGUGUGGGCCUCCAGAUGAACCAAAAGGGGUUCCCAAAGGGGCCGGGUACCUGGAGUGUUUAUAUAUACUUACUGGUAAGGAAGUGCAGAAGUGCAGGGAGUAAAGGAAUAGGGGUUGGAAACGGAGAUGCGUGCUAAAGCCUGCAUGGCGGAUUCUGGCAACCAGAUUUGAAGAAAGCUGUCUAUUCAAGCUGGCUUCCUAGCUCUGAGCCUGGGAGGCAGGAGUCCAGGUGUGCGGUGGAUCUCUGGCUCUGACUCCUGGGGCUGCCCAGGUACAUAGAGCUGUCAGGAACAUCCAGAAAGAGGCAGCUGUUUCCCGAAGGCUCCCUCUGACACGCCUGGGAGCUGCAUGACCGGGCUUGAGGCAGGCACAGCGCGGGUUUGGGAGGACACAGGCACGUGGGCAGCCUCCUGCCCCAGCUCUGCAGAUGAGGCAGCUGAGAGAAGUGAAUCUUUCUUCCCAGCCUCCUCCUCCACCCUCUGCUUCAGAGCCCUGGUGCCGCAGCACAGUGCAGGCUGCAUAAAGGCUGAUUCAUAGAUGAGGGGCUAAGCUAUAAGCCACACAGAGGCGAACAGACAAAACUGCGUGCUUGUGGGGUAUGUGUGUGCGUGUGUGUGUUUGGAAGAAACUGUUUAUUCCAGGAACUAUAGAUCAAACACGCCUUACUGGCAGACAAUAGUGAUUUGCCUAGACAAUUUAUGCCACCAAAUAAACAUUGAGAUGGGCUGUGUAGAGCUAAAGACCCUGCAUCUGUCAUACUCCCAGGAACUCCAGAAGAAUGUCACAAUCAAGAUCUCAAUUCAAAUACGUGAAGAUUCAGUGCUGAUAAAUCAACACCUGAUCUGACUAUCAUGAAAAAUCACCUUUUAAAGCAGCACUCGACAUUUUAGGGCUGUUUGCUCCAAGCCACUUAUUUUUCAUUCUCCUUCAAAGUUUCUAUUUAAACACACCUCUUUGUCAUAUGCUGAUAAAUAU